rnacentral:lncRNA from 1 species
CAAGUCGACGUUUUUUUCUGCCGAUAAAAUUAGUUGUACUCGCAUCAACAUCAACAUUGAGGUGUCGGUGUAUAUGAAGAAGAGAUAGAUUUGAAAGUCGAAAGGACACCAAGAAGUCGGGUAUUGUUUUUUGGUGUUGUAAAGACCCGAUAUCUGGGUAAGGGCGAUGGUGUUGUGUACAUGACGUUGUCAUGUAUUACUUGUCGGAGAAGCUUCAGUCUUAGAUGAU